AGAAUUACUGCGGAGCAACUGGAUCUCUGACUCCAAGACGGCAAUCUUGCUUUCCAGUCUAAAGAGAUCAUUUUUUUUUAACUUGUCAGGCUUUCUCAUAGGACGUGAAUACAGUGCAGAGAAAAAAAAUCAUGCGAAUGUAAGAUUGCAGCUUUGCAAUUUCUUGGCCCUUGGCUUCUUCAAGGUCAAUCUACCAGCAAGAAAUAGUUAAUAAACUCAUUUGGGACCAAGUAACAAAUUACACGCUACAGAAACCGACAUAUGGAUCCAAGUGAAUUACCCUCAGACGCUUUUCAACAUCUAACCGCCAUAUGUGAAAUCGGACAAACCAUUCUCAGUUUCCGAAGUUCCUUUCUUGCAAUGCGUGCCCUCCACAAGCACUGAAGAAUCAACGAAGCUUUCUUUUGCUGCUUGUAAGCGACAUAAGCUUUGUGUUGGCGCCAUUGAGUCUG